AGUGAACGCUGGCGGUAGGCCUAACACAUGCAAGUCGAACGGCAGCACAGUAAGAGCUUGCUCUUACGGGUGGCGAGUGGCGGACGGGUGAGGAAUACAUCGGAAUCUACUUUUUCGUGGGGGAUAACGUAGGGAAACUUACACUAAUACCGCAUACGACCUACGGGUGAAAGCAGGGGAUCUUCGGACCUUGCGCGAUUGAAUGAGCCGAUGUCGGAUUAGCUAGUUGGCGGGGUAAAGGCCCACCAAGGCGACGAUCCGUAGCUGGUCUGAGAGGAUGAUCAGCCACACUGGAACUGAGACACGGUCCAGACUCCUACGGGAGGCAGCAGUGGGGAAUAUUGGACAAUGGGCGCAAGCCUGAUCCAGCCAUACCGCGUGGGUGAAGAAGGCCUUCGGGUUGUAAAGCCCUUUUGUUGGGAAGGAAAAGCAGCAGGUUAAUACCCCGCUGUUCUGACGGUACCCAAAGAAUAAGCACCGGCUAACUUCGUG
rnacentral:rRNA from 1 species